rnacentral:rRNA from 1 species
GACGUAGGGCGCGAGCGUUGUCCGGAUUUAUUGGGCGUAAAGAGCUCGUAGGCGGCUUGUCGCGUCGACUGUGAAAACCCGCGGCUCAACUGCGGGCUUGCAGUCGAUACGGGCAGGCUAGAGUGUGGUAGGGGAGACUGGAAUUCCUGGUGUAGCGGUGAAAUGCGUAGAUAUCGGGAGGAACACCUGAGGCGAAGGCGGGCUACUGGGCCGAUACUGACGCUGAUACGCGAAAGCCAGGGGAGCGAACGGG